rnacentral:rRNA from 1 species
AGAGUUUGAUCCUGGCUCAGGACGAACGCUGGCGGCGUGCCUAAUACAUGCAAGUCGAGCGAGCUGAACCAACAGAUUCACUUCGGUGAUGACGUUGGGAACGCGAGCGGCGGAUGGGUGAGUAACACGUGGGGAACCUGCCCCAUAGUCUGGGAUACCACUUGGAAACAGGUGCUAAUACCGGAUAAGAAAGCAGAUCGCAUGAUCAGCUUAUAAAAGGCGGCGUAAGCUGUCGCUAUGGGAUGGCCCCGCGGUGCAUUAGCUAGUUGGUAGGGUAACGGCCUACCAAGGCAAUGAUGCAUAGCCGAGUUGAGAGACUGAUCGGCCACAUUGGGACUGAGACACGGCCCAAACUCCUACGGGAGGCAGCAGUAGGGAAUCUUCCACAAUGGACGAAAGUCUGAUGGAGCAACGCCGCGUGAGUGAAGAAGGUUUUCGGAUCGUAAAGCUCUGUUGUUGGUGAAGAAGGAUAGAGGUAGUAACUGGCCUUUAUUUGACGGUAAUCAACCAGAAAGUCACGGCUAACUACGUGCCAGCAGCCGCGGUAAUACGUAGGUGGCAAGCGUUGUCCGGAUUUAUUGGGCGUAAAGCGAGCGCAGGCGGAAGAAUAAGUCUGAUGUGAAAGCCCUCGGCUUAACCGAGGAACUGCAUCGGAAACUGUUUUUCUUGAGUGCAGAAGAGGAGAGUGGAACUCCAUGUGUAGCGGUGGAAUGCGUAGAUAUAUGGAAGAACACCAGUGGCGAAGGCGGCUCUCUGGUCUGCAACUGACGCUGAGGCUCGAAAGCAUGGGUAGCGAACAGGAUUAGAUACCCUGGUAGUCCAUGCCGUAAACGAUGAGUGCUAAGUGUUGGGAGGUUUCCGCCUCUCAGUGCUGCAGCUAACGCAUUAAGCACUCCGCCUGGGGAGUACGACCGCAAAGGUUGAACUCAAAGGAAUUGACGGGGCCCGCACAAGCGGUGGAGCAUGUGGUUUAAUUCGAAGCAACGCGAAGAACCUUACCAGGUCUUGACAUCUAGUGCAAUCCGUAGAGAUGCGGAGUUCCCUUCGGGGACACUAAGACAGGU